rnacentral:rRNA from 1 species
UGGGGAAUAUUGCACAAUGGGCGCAAGCCUGAUGCAGCCAUGCCGCGUGUGUGAAGAAGGCCUUCGGGUUGUAAAGCACUUUCAGCGAGGAGGAAGGUGGUGAGCUUAAUACGCUCAUCAAUUGACGUUACUCGCAGAAGAAGCACCGGCUAACUCCGUGCCAGCAGCCGCGGUAAUACGGAGGGUGCAAGCGUUAAUCGGAAUACUGGGCGUAAAGCGCACGCAGGCGGUUUGUUAAGUCAGAUGUGAAAUCCCCGGGCUCAACCUGGGAACUGCAUUUGAAACUGGCAAGCUAGAGUCUCGUAGAGGGGGGUAGAAUUCCAGGUGUAGCGGUGAAAUGCGUAGAGAUCUGGAGGAAUACCGGUGGCGAAGGCGGCCCCCUGGACGAAGACUGACGCUCAGGUGCGAAAGCGUGGGGCAGCAAACAGGAUUAGAUACCCUGGUAGUCCACGCUGUAAACGAUGUCGAUUUUGGAGGUUGUGCCCUUGAGGCGUGGCUUCCGGAGCUAACGCGUUAAAUCGACCGCCUGGGGAGUACGGCCGCAAGGUUAAAACUCAAAUGAA